rnacentral:rRNA from 1 species
GACGAACGCUGGCGGCGUGCUUAACAUAUGCAAGUCGAACGGAAAGGCCCUGCUUUUGUGGGGUGCUCGAGUGGCGAACGGGUGAGUAACACGUGAGUAACCUGCCCUUGACUUUGGGAUAACUUCAGGAAACUGGGGCUAAUACCGGAUAGGAGCUCCUGCCGCAUGGUGGGGGUUGGAAAGUUUCGGCGGUUGGGGAUGGACUCGCGGCUUAUCAGCUUGUUGGUGGGGUAGUGGCUUACCAAGGCUUUGACUGGUAGCCGGCCUGAGAGGGUGACCGGCCACAUUGGGACUGAGAUACCGCCCAGACUCCUACGGGAGGCAGCAGUGGGGAAUAUUGCACAAUGGGCGGAAGCCUGAUGCAGCAACGCCGCGUGCGGGAUGACGGCCUUCGGGUUGUAAACCGCUUUCGCCUGUGACGUAGCGUGAGUGACGGUAAUGGGUAAAGAAGCACCGGCUAACUACGUGCCAGCAGCCGCGGUGAUACGUAGGGUGCGAGCGUUGUCCGGAUUUAUUGGGCGUAAAGGGCUCGUAGGUGGUUGAUCGCGUCGGAAGUGUAAUCUUGGGGCUUAACCCUGAGCGUGCUUUCGAUACGGGUUGACUUGAGGAAGGUAGGGGAGAAUGGAAUUCCUGGUGGAGCGGUGGAAAGCGCAGAUAUCAGGAGGAACACCAGUGGCGAAGACGGUUCUCUGGGCCUUUCCUGACGUUGAGGAGCGAAAGCGUGGGGAGCGAACAGGCUUAAGAUACCCUGGUAGUCCACGCUGUAAACGGUGGGUACUAGGUGUGGGGUCCAUUCCACGGGUUCCGUGCCGUAGCUAACGCUUUAAGUACCCCGCCUGGGGAGUACGGCCGCAAGGCUAAAACUCAAAGGAAUUGACGGGGCCCCGCACAAGCGGCGGAGCAUGCGGAUUAAUUCGAUGCAACGCGUAGAACCUUACCUGGGUUUGACAUGGAUCGGGAGUGCUCAGAGAUGGGUGUGCCUCUUUUGGGGUCGGUUCACAGGUGGUGCAUGGCUGUCGUCAGCUCGUGUCGUGAGAUGUUGGGUUAAGUCCCGCAACGAGCGCAACCCUUGUUCACUGUUGCCAGCACGUUAUGGUGGGGACUCAGUGGAGACCGCCGGGGUCAACUCGGAGGAAGGUGGGGAUGACGUCAAGUCAUCAUGCCCCUUAUGUCCAGGGCUUCACGCAUGCUACAAUGGCUGGUACAGAGAGUGGCGAGCCUGUGAGGGUGAGCGAAUCUCGGAAAGCCGGUCUCAGUUCGGAUUGGGGUCUGCAACUCGACCUCAUGAAGUCGGAGUCGCUAGUAAUCGCAGAUCAGCAACGCUGCGGUGAAUACGUUCCCGGG